CAGAUAUUAGUUUAUAAAAAAAUUUUAAUUUUGGAGAUUAAAGAUAAGGAUUUCUUAUAUCUGA
rnacentral:tRNA from 1 species